AUGUCCACCAUGCCCACUACCCUCACUAUCACCAUCACCAUCAUUAUCCCCACCACUGACACCGUCACCACCACCACCACCAUCAUCAUUAUUCCCACCACUGACACUAUCACCACCAUCACCAUCAUUAUUCUCACCACUGACACCAUCACCACCACCAUCACCAUCAUUAUUCCCACCACUGACACCAUCACCACCACCACCACCAUCAUCAUUAUCCCCACCACUGACACCAUCACCACCACCACCACCAUCAUCAUUAUCCCCACCACUGACACCAUCACCACCACCACCACCAUUAUCCCCACCACUGACACCAUCACCACCACCACCACCAUUAUCCCCACCACUGACACCAUCACCACCACCACCACCAUUAUCCCCACCACUGACACCAUCACCACCACCACCACCAUUAUCCCCACCACUGACACCAUCACCACCACCACCACCAUUAUCCCCACCACUGACACCAUCACCACCACCAUCACCAUCAUUAUCCCCACCACUGACACCGUCACCACCACCAACACCAUCAUCAUUAUCCCCACCACUGACACCAUCACCACCACCAUCACCAUCAUUAUUCCCACCACUGACACCAUCACCACCACCAUCACCAUCAUCUCCACCACUGAUACCAUCACCACCACCAUCACCAUCAUCAUCAUUAUCCCCACCACUGACACCAUCACCACCACCACCAUCAUCAUUAUCCCCACCACUGACACCAUCACCACCACCACCACCAUCAUCAUUAUCCCCACCGCUGACACCAUCACCACCACCACCACCAUCAUCAUUAUCCCCACCACUGACACCAUCACCACCACCACCACCAUCAUUAUUCCCACCACUGACACCAUCACCACCACCAUCACCAUCAUCUCCACCACUGACACCAUCACCACCACCAUCACCAUCAUCUCCACCACUGACACCAUCACCACCACUAUCACCAUCAUUAUCCCCACCACUGACACCGUCACCACCACCAUCACCAUGAUUAUUUCCACCACUGACACCAUCACCAGGAGUACUACUAUCACCCUCACCACCACCAUCAUCCUCACCACUGACACCAUGAGCAAGAGUACCACCAUUACCACCACCACCCCUGUCUCCACCACUGACGCCAUCACCAGGAGUACUUCCAUCACCACCACCAUUACCAUCCCCACCACUGCCUCCGUCAGCAGGAGUACCACUGUCACCACGCCCACCACUGACACCAUCAGUGGGAAUACCACCACCAUCCCCACACUGUCAGCAGGGGUACCACCAUCACCACUACCGCCAUCAUCCCCACCACAGACACUACUGCCAGGAUUUGGAAAACUAAAGCCACAGGACAAACACAUCUACCACCUCCAUUUGUACAGCCCACAAGCUAAGAAUGGUUUUUGCAUUUUUAAGUGGCUGAAGAAAAGAAAAGAGGAAUAUUCCAUGACACACAAAAAUUAUAUGAAACUCAAAUGUCAGUAUCCAUAA
ensembl:lncRNA